rnacentral:lncRNA from 1 species
GCCCCGGCAAGCGUGGCAUCCAGCUCACAAGCCCCUGCAGCAGAAGCAACCGACCGCCGUGCCCCAGCAAGCGUGGCAUCCAGCUCACACUGCAGCAGAAGCAACUGACCGCCGUGCCCCAGCAAGCGUGGCAUCCAGCUCAAUGCCCCUGCAGCAGAAGCAACCGACCGCCGUGCCCCAGCAAGCGUGGCAUCCAGCUCAAAUGCCCCUGCAGCAGAAGCAACCGACCGCCGUGCCCCAGCAAGCGUGGCAUCCAGCUCAUAUGCCCCUGCAGCAGAAGCAACCGACCGCCGUGCCCCAGCAAGCGUGGCAUCCAGCUCAUAUGCCCCAACCGACCGCCGUGCCCCAGCAAGCGUGGCAUCCAGCUCAUAUGCCCCUGCAGCAGAAGCAACCGACCGCCGUGCCCCAGCAAGCGUGGCAUCCAGCUCAAAUGCCCCUGCAGCAGAAGCAACCGACCGCCGUGCCCCAGCAAGCGUGGCAUCCAGCUCAUAUGCCCCUGCAGCAGAAGCAACCGACCGCCGUGCCCCAGCAAGCGUGGCAUCCAGCUCACAUGCCCCUGCAGCAGAAGCAACCGACCGCCUUGCCCCAGCAAGCGUGGCAUCCAGCUCACAUGCCCCUGCAGCAGAAGCAACCGACCGCCGUGCCCCAGCAAGUGUGGCAUCGAGCUCAAAUGCCCCUGCAGCAACCGACCGCCAUGCCACAGCAAGCGUGGCGUUCAGCUCAAAUGCCCCUGCAGCAACCGACCGCCGUGCCCCAGCAGCAGAAGCAACCGACCGCCGUGCCCCAGCAAGCGUGGCAUCCAGCUCAAAUGCCCCUGCAGCAGAAGCAACCGACUGCCGUGCCCCAGCAAGUGUGGCAUCGAGCUCAAAUGCCCCUGCAGCAACCGACCGCCAUGCCACAGCAAGCGUGGCGUUCAGCUCAAAUGCCCCUGCAGCAACCGACCGCCGUGCCCCAGCAGCAGAAGCAACCGACCGCCGUGCCCCAGCAAGCGUGGCAUCCAGCUCAAAUGCCCCUGCAGCAGAAGCAACCGACCGCCGUGCCCCAGCAAGCGUGGCAUCCAGCUCAAAUGCCCCUGCAGCAGAAGCAACCGACCGCCGUGCCCCAGCAGCAGAAGCAACCGACCGCCGUGCCCCAGCAAGCGUGGCAUCCAGCUCAAAUGCCACUGCAGCAGAAGCAACCGACCGACGUGCCCCAGCAAGCGUGGCAUCCAGCUCAAAUGCCCCUGCAGCAGAAGCAACCGACCGCCGUGCCCCAGCAAGCGUGGCAUCCAGCUCAAAUGCCCCAGCAGCAGAAGCAACCGACCGCCGUGCCCCAGCAGCAGAAGCAACCGACCGCCGUGCCCCAGCAAGCGUGGCAUCCAGCUCAAAUGCCCCUGCAGCAGAAGCAACCGACCGCCGUGCCCCAGCAAGCGUGGCAUCCAGCUCAAAUGCCCCUGCAGCAGAAGCAACCGACCGCCGUGCCCCAGCAAGCGUGGCAUCCAGCUCAAAUGCUCCUGCAGCAGAAGCAACCGACCGCCGUGCCCCAGCAAGCGUGGCAUCCAGCUCAAAUGCCCCUGCAGCAGAAGCAACCGACCGCCGUGCCCCAGCAAGCGUGGCAUCCAGCUCAAAUGCCCCUGGAGCAGAAGCAACUGGCCCCUAUGCCCAAGAAUCGACCAGCCAUUGAACCUCAGCAGCAGAAGCAACUAUCCAACACACCCCAGCAAGCGUGGCAUCCAGCUCAAAUGCGCCUGCAGCAGGAGGAUGUGGCCGUCGAGCCCCUGCAGCAGGAGGAUGAUGUGGCCGUCGAGCCCCUGCAGCAGGAGGAUCGACCGGCAGUCGAGCCCCUGCAGCAGGAGGAACUAUCCAACACACCCCAGGAAGCGUGGCAUCCAGCUCAAAUGCGCCUGCAGCAGGAGGAUCUGGCCGUCGAGCUCCUGCAGGAGGAUCUGGCCCCUAUGCCCAAGAAUCGACCAGCCAUUGAACCUCAGCAGCAGAAGCAACUAUCCAACACACCCCAGCAAGCGUGGCAUCCAGCUCAAAUGCCCCUGCAGCAGGAGGAUCUGGCCGUCGAGCCCCUGCAGCAGGAGGAUCUGGCCGUCGAGCCCCUGCAGCAGGAGGAUCUGGCCCCUAUGCCCAAGAAUCGACCAGCCAUUGAACCUCAGCAGCAGAAGCAACUAUCCAACACACCCCAGCAAGCGUGGCAUCCAGCUCAAAUGCUCCUGCAGCAGGAGGAACUGGCCGUCGAGCCCCAGGAAGUUAGGUAUCCAGCUCAAAUGCCCCAGCAGCAACCGAACCCCAUUCCUCAGCUAUUAUGGCAUGUAGCCCAAAUUCCCCAGCAGCAACUGGCCCCCAUCCCUCAGCAGAAGCACUACGAAAGCACAGAAGAUGGCGGCUCUAGUAGCUCUCAGUUCCAAAUCACACUACGAGAAUGGCAAAACGGUCUUCUCCCAACCCCGCUACACUCCUAGCGAGGCUAUUCCUAUUGACAAUGGUAAUGCUCCCAAUGACAGUGAUGUUGGCACAUUUGAACCAAGCACAUACCCACCACUAGUAAAGGAUCCUACAAGUUAACGUACAACUUUAAUCUGGUCUUAACUUUGCGCUGUGAAUUUGAAGUCCUUUGUACUAGCCAUGUAUCUGCCAACAGGAGAAUCUAAUGGUGGAUUCAUCCUUUAAAAGCUGAUAGUGAGACUUUUUUUGUCAAAUUGAUUAAAUAAGAUUCUGUUGCUGACACUGUUCUAACUUUCAGGUUUCAGUGAUGCUUUUGUUUUGACCAGGAAGUUGUUGGUGUUCUUGCCUCUCUUGCAUGAGUGAAUCAAUAAAUAAUUUUACUUUCCAAUAUCUAGUGUCUUUGCAAUACUGAGGGUACUCUUGUGCUUUCUGAUUUCAAACAGGUGUGGAUCACCAGUACAGUUGUCAGUAAAAGAGAAUGUGGUUCAGUCUUCAAAUAGCUGGUUUUAACCUUUGCUACUGUUUGUUCAAAUUCCAAGUUUGGCUUUACAUUAGUGGUGACAUGUCAGACCUUCCUCAUGUUCAUACUUUUGUAUGUUAACACCCCUUCAAAUGACUGGAUUCGGCAUUCCGGCCAAACCCGUUGCUGACGCGUAUAAAAUCGAGCACACAGCCAUGCAAUAUCCAUAUUCAAACAUUGGCAGUAGAAUGGCCUUGAUCAGUGACUUUCAAUGUGGCAGUCAUAGGAUGACACUUUUCCAAGUCAGUUUGUCAAUUGCAACCCUGGUCAAAUAAGUCCUGUUAAUGUGAUAGGCCACACAAUCUCAGAACAGGGCUGUAGUGUGUAGUCCUCGGUUGCAACACUUAGUGUUUGUAACUGCCUCUGGAAGCAUUGUCAGCACCAGAACUGUUCAGGAGCUUCAUGCUGUGUUUCGAUGAAUGAACAGCUGCACACAAGCCUACAAUAUGUGCAAUUCCACUUGUCUGCGGGAGUGGUGUAAAGCUCGGUGAUACUGGACUCAAGCGCAAUGGAAAUGCCUUGUCUGGAGAGACUAAUCACUCCAUCUGGCAGGAUGAAUCUGGGUUUCACAGAUGCCAGGAGAACACUACCUGCCCGACUGCGUAGUGCCAACUAAAGUUUGUUGGUGGAAUAAUGGUCUGGGGCUGUUUAUGAUGGUUUGGGCUAGGCCCCUUAGUUCCAGUGAAGGGAAGUCUUAACGCUACAGCAUAGAAUAACAUUCUAGACAAUUCUGUGCUUCCAACUUUGUGACAACAGUUUGGGGGAAGGACCUUUCCUGUUUCAGUAUGACAAUGCCCCUGUGCAUAACGCAAGGUCCAUACAGAAGCGGUUGGUGUGGAAGAAUUUGACGGGCCUGCAAAGAGCCUUGACCUCAACCCUAUCGAACACCUUUGGGAUGAAUUGGAACGCCGACUGCGAGCCAGGCCUAAACAAUCAACAUCAGUUUCUGACCUCAUUAAUACUGUUGUGGCUGAAUGAAAGCAAGUCCCCACAGAAAUGUUCAAACAUCUAGAAGAGUGAAGGCUUUUAUAGCUGCAAUUGGGGGGCGCAAACUCCAUAUUAAUGCCCAUGAUUUUGAAAUUAAAUGUUCAACAAGCUGCUGUCCACAUAAUUUUGGUCAUGUAGUG